UAACAGCUGUUAAUUUGUUAGAUAUUAGAUAAAGCGAUUGAAUAAAGUGUGUGGUUUUUCUUUGUCUUUUUGGCAUUUAUUUAUUUAAAUUUUAAUUUAGAAUAUAUAUUUUUUUUUUAUAGACCCCUGUAUAUAUCAACAGGGCUGCUGAUCAUCAACCAACCUGAUGAAUGAAAAAAGCUAAUCAGCAAGACUAUGUGGAUGCAAUUACAACAUCAAAGCCACAGGGCUCUUUAAAAACCACCAGAAGAAAGUCCUCACCGGCAUUUCGAGAGUUUGGGGCUGAACGAAGCCGAUGAUAAGAUCCACAGAUCCAGGCCUGACGAAAAGGGACACAUCCUGAAAGGAUUAAAUGAUACAAAAAGAGCGAUGAUACAGCAGUAGAUUGUGUUGUGCAUCUUCAAAUUGUCUUUUAAUUUCCUCGAGGAGAAAAACUUGUAAUGAUGCUGCUGAAAUCCCUCUCUCGGGCUCAAAGCGCCAUCGCUGUGUGAUGUUCAGAGGAAUUAUGAAGCAAUGAAAGAUGAAAAUCUCAUUUGAGCAGAUGCUUUGGCUUUGUGUUAUGCUAAACUUUAUAUAAUACUAGUUUAUAGAUCUAUCAGAAUGUUUUACACAGAGCGACAUCAACAGAGACAACAACUUAAAAAAGCAUUUCUUGUUCAUUUUGCAUUGCACAAAUGAAAAACUGAAUCUUGUUUCCAAAACUGUUUUAAUCUCAAAUGUGCACUGAACUGGACAAAGUCUACUUGAAAAUGCAUAAUCGUUUUAAUUCCCACUUUUGAGGAGGAUGAAUGUCAAGUUCACCCUUUAUCAACCUUUUCUUUUUUCUUUAUUAAAUUAAGCAGCAUUGUUUUGAUUGGAAUAAAUUGCACAUUAAACCAGGAACAUGGUAAACAGGUCACUUUUGAUUUUGUGUUGCAAAGAUUGCAUUAGUAAUUGGCAGUGAUUAGUGUAAAUGCAUUUUCAUUUAAAAAGUAAAAUAAAAUGAAUAUCCCA